rnacentral:snRNA from 1 species
AUGCUUUGGCAGCACAUACACUACAAUUGGAAUAAUGCGGAGAUCAGCAUGGUCCCUGCACAAGGGUGACAUAUGAAUUCAUGAAACAUUCCUCAUUUUU